rnacentral:ribozyme from 1 species
UAAUAAAUUCUAAAUAAUAUUUUACAGACUGGUGUAACUUUAAAAGACACACAACAAAAUUGAUCAUAGUCGUGUUCGGACGUGUGUAUUUUGAUCGCCGCAGCAGGCAGCACAGAUAGCUGCAUACUCAAGGGCAACGGCCGAGAAGGAGAGUAAUGAGGGUGACAAAGAUCUAUUCCCUCGGAUAGAAUGUAUAAACCAU